rnacentral:rRNA from 1 species
GUGAACGCUGGCGGUAGGCCUAACACCUGCAAGUCGAACGGCAGCACAGUAAGAGCUUGCUCUUACGGGUGGCGAGUGGCGGACGGGUGAGGAAUACAUCGGAAUCUACUUUUUCGUGGGGGAUAACGUAGGGAAACUUACGCUAAUACCGCAUACGACCUACGGGGGAAAGCAGGGGAUCUUCGGACCUUGCGCGAUUGAAUGAGCCGAUGUCGGAUUAGCUAGUUGGCGGGGUAAAGGCCCACCAAGGCGACGAUCCGUAGCUGGUCUGAGAGGAUGAUCAGCCACACUGGAACUGAGACACGGUCCAGACUCCUACGGGAGGCAGCAGUGGGGAAUAUUGGACAAUGGGCGCAAGCCUGAUCCAGCCAUACCGCGUGGGUGAAGAAGGCCUUCGGGUUGUAAAGCCCUUUUGUUGGGAAAGAAAAGCAGCAGGUUAAUACCCCGCUGUUCUGACGGUACCCAAAGAAUAAGCACCGGCUAACUUCGUG